rnacentral:rRNA from 1 species
CCAUGUGAACGAUGAAGGUUAUAAAGAUCGUAAAGUUCUUUUAGGGGGGAAAACUCUGAUGGUACCUCCUGAAUAAGUGACAGCAAACUAUGUGCCAGCAGCUGCGGUAAUACAUAGGUCGCGAGCGUUAUUCGGAUUUAUUGGGCGUAAAGCAAGCGCAGGCGGAUUGAUAAGUUCUGUAUUAAAAGCAGCUGCUCAACAGUUGUUUGUACCGAAUACUGUCAGUCUAGAAUUUGGUAGGAAGUUUUGGAAUUAAACAUGGAGCGGUGGAAUGUGUAGAUAUGUUUAAGAACACCAGAGGCGAAGGCGAAAACUUAGGCCAUAAUUGACGCUUAGGCUUGAAAGUGUGGGUAGCAAAUGGGAUUAGAUACCCCAGUAGUCCACACCGUAAACGAUGGGUAUUAGAUGUUGGGACUUGUGUCUCAGUGUCGUAGCUUACGUGUUAAAUACCCCGCCUGGGUAGUACAUAUGCAAAUAUGAAACUCAAAGGAAUUGACGGGGACCUGAACAAGUGGUGGAACAUGUUGCUUAAUUCGAUAAUACACGAAAAACCUUACCAAGGUUUGACAUCCCCAGCGAAGGUAUAGAAAUAUAUUGGAGGUUAUCUGGGUGACAGGUGGUGCAUGGUUGUCGUCAGCUCGUGUCAUGAGAUGUUUGGUUAAGUCCCGCAACGAGCGCAACCCUACUUCUUAGUUGUUUGUCUAAGUUGACUGAAUCGUAAGAUAUAGGAAGGUUGGGAUCACGUCAAAUCAUCAUGCCCCUUAUGCUUGGGCUGCA